CGGGCUCCAGUCCAGAUAUGACGUAUGUGGACUCUCCUCCACCUCGGUGCCACCAGAAGCAUCCUAUGAUGAAGACUGGGAGGUCUUUGACCCGUAUUUUUUCAUCAAGCAUGUGCCUCCACUGACUGAAGAGCAACUCACGCGUAAGCCAGCGUUGCCCCUAAAGACGCGCAGUACACCAGAAUUCUCUCUUGUACUUGACCUGGAUGAGACCCUCGUGCACUGCAGUUUAAAUGAGCUGGAGGACGCAGCACUUACCUUCCCUGUCCUUUUCCAAGAUGUCAUUUACCAGGUGUAUGUGCGACUAAGGCCGUUCUUUAGAGAAUUCUUAGAACGCAUGUCAC